rnacentral:tRNA from 1 species
GCGCCCAUAGCUUAAUUGGAUAGAGCAUUUGACUACGAAUCAAAAGGCUAGAGGUUCAAGUCCUCUUGGGCGCG